rnacentral:rRNA from 1 species
GACGAACGCUGGCGGCGUGCUUAACACAUGCAAGUCGAACGGAAAGGCCCUGCUGUUGUGGGGUGCUCGAGUGGCGAACGGGUGAGUAACACGUGAGUAACCUGCCCUUGACUUUGGGAUAACUUCAGGAAACUGGGGCUAAUACCGGAUAGGAGCUCCUGCUGCAUGGUGGGGGUUGGAAAGUUUCGGCGGUUGGGGAUGGACUCGCGGCUUAUCAGCUUGUUGGUGGGGUAGUGGCUUACCAAGGCUUUGACGGGUAGCCGGCCUGAGAGGGUGACCGGCCACAUUGGGACUGGGAUCCGGCCCAGACUCCUACGGGAGGCAGCAGUGGGGAAUAUUGCACAAUGGGCGGAAGCCUGAUGCAGCAACGCCGCGUGCGGGAUGACAGCCUUCGGGUUGUAAACCGCUUUCGCCUGUGACGAAGCGUGAGUGACGGUAAUGGGUAAAGAAGCACCGGCUAACUACGUG